AAGAGCUCCUGGGGCACAUCAACAUCCCUCCUGUCUAACAAUUAGCAGGUUGGUGAAGCUGAAGUUGGAUAUGACCCCUAUGGUGACGCUGCAAUGUGGCAGGGCAGCCCGACGUGAGCAGCUGUCCUGGGAUGUGGCUUUUUUGCUCUAACAAAUUGGAGAGCCAUCCCAGCAUAACUGAGGACCCAGAGUUGCUUUUUCUGGAAAACACAGUCCUUACUGCUUCUUUUCUUGGAGCACGGCUGUCA